AGAAAGCACAGAGAUCCUCAUACUACCAGUGGCCCUUUUUGGCAAUAUGUCAGUAGACAGGGCUGUUGGAUUUGUCUUCCAUAACUUGGGGGCAAUCCUUGGGCUGGCAGGUAUUUUUGAUAAGAGACUAACAUUUGAGUGAGGAUUUCUCUGCUCUUUGUAAAAGCUUCCUCUGGAAGGACCCUCAUGGCCUGGUCCAGGAAAACGAGUUAUUAGAAGUUUCCAGUUUCCAGGGACAGGAAGCAUAAAUUCCCUCAGGAUAUCAUUGUGCAUGAUGGCUCAAAAAUACUAACUGCUGAACAAAGGGCAGCUAUUCUCUCAACUGGCUCAGCCUACUCUGAUUAUAGACAAGAUGACAUAUUUAUUACAGCUAUCUCACCAAGCUGAUUCAUUGGCUCAAAUUUGUACUGUAAAAGUUUCUUCUUUCUUCUUUUUUAAAAUAAAUUUUCCUAAU